rnacentral:rRNA from 1 species
UGGGGAAUAUUGGACAAUGGGCGCAAGCCUGAUCCAGCCAUGCCGCGUGAGUGAUGAAGGCCCUAGGGUUGUAAAGCUCUUUCACCGGUGAAGAUAAUGACGGUAACCGGAGAAGAAGCCCCGGCUAACUUCGUGCCAGCAGCCGCGGUAAUACGAAGGGGGCUAGCGUUGUUCGGAUUUACUGGGCGUAAAGCGCACGUAGGCGGACUUUUAAGUCAGGGGUGAAAUCCCGGGGCUCAACCCCGGAACUGCCUUUGAUACUGGAAGUCUUGAGUAAGGGAGGGGUGAGGGGAAUUUCGAGUGUAGAGGUGAAAUUCGUAGAUAAUCGGAAGAACACCAGUGGCGAAGGCGGCUCACUGGACCAUUACUGACGCUGAGGUGCGAAAGCGUGGGGAGCAAACAGG